CAUCAUACCAUAUUUGCUUCAU
rnacentral:miRNA from 1 species